GACGAACGCUGGCGGCGUGCCUAAUACAUGCAAGUAGGACGCAGUUGCGAACGGGUGAGUAACGCGUAGGUAACUGCCUAUUAGAGGGGGAUAACUAUUGGAAACGAUAGCUAAUACCGCAUACUAGUAGAUGGACCUGCGUUGUAUUAGCUAGUAGGUAGGGUAAUGGCCUACCUAGGCGAAGGUACAUAGCCGACCUGGGAAGGUGUACGGCCAACAUGGGAAUUGGACACGGCCCAAACUCCUACGGGAGGCAGCAGUAGGGAAUUGUCGGCAAUUGGGGGAACCCUUACCGAGCACAUCCGGGUGGGUGAAGAAGGGUUUCGGGUCGUUAAGCUCUGUUGUUAAGGAAGCGGUACUUAACCAGAAAGCGACGGCUAACUACGUGCCAGCAGCCGCGGUAAUUC
rnacentral:rRNA from 1 species